UACAAGACAAGAAAGGACCACGCUUAUAAGG
rnacentral:piRNA from 1 species